GACGAACGCUGGCGGCGUGCCUAAUACAUGCAAGUCGAACGGUCUUUUCUAUGGAAGCUUGCUUCCGCUGAGAAGAUAGUGGCGAACGGGUGAGUAACACGUGGGUAACCUGCCCAUAAGAGGGGGAUAACAUCUGGAAACGGGUGCUAAUACCGCAUAGUUUUCUUGAUCGCAUGAUUGAGAAAGGAAAGACGGCCUUUGUGCUGUCGCUUAUGGAUGGACCCGCGGCGUAUUAGUUAGUUGGUGAGGUAACGGCUCACCAAGACGAUGAUACGUAGCCGACCUGAGAGGGUGAUCGGCCACAUUGGGACUGAGACACGGCCCAAACUCCUACGGGAGGCAGCAGUAGGGAAUCUUCCGCAAUGGACGAAAGUCUGACGGAGCAACGCCGCGUGAGUGAAGAAGGUUUUCGGAUCGUAAAACUCUGUUGUCAGAGAAGAACUAGUCGGAGAGUAACUGCUCCGGCCUUGACGGUAUCUGACCAGAAAGCCACGGCUAACUACGUGCCAGCAGCCGCCGUAAUAC
rnacentral:rRNA from 1 species